GGCACGAGGUAUAAAGGUUCAAAGACGGCGUGUGCAAGAAUCCAUGCAUCGCAUAGAUCCACAAGGAAUUAUAGUCCGCACACUUCAACUGCACACUGUCAGGCGUAGAAGAUAUUCUGUUCCAGGUCCCAACAGUCUGUGGCAUAUCGAUGGCAACCAUAAACUCAUAAGAUGGAGAGUUGUGGUCCAUGGUGGAAUUGAUGGCUUUAGCC